rnacentral:rRNA from 1 species
AGAGUUUGAUCCUGGCUCAGAUUGAACGCUGGCGGCAGGCCUAACACAUGCAAGUCGAGCGGGGGUAGCAAUACCCUAGCGGCGAACGGGUGAGGAAUGCUUGGGAAUCUGCCUGGUAGUGGGGGAUAACGUUCCGAAAGGAACGCUAAUACCGUAUACGUCCUACGGGAGAAAGGGGGGGAUCUUCGGACCUCUCGCUAUCAGAUGAGCCCAAGCGGGAUUAGCUAGUUGGUGGGGUAAAGGCCCACCAAGGCGACGAUCCCUAGCUGGUCUGAGAGGAUGAUCAGCCACACUGGAACUGAGACACGGUCCAGACUCCUACGGGAGGCAGCAGUGGGGAAUAUUGGACAAUGGGGGAAACCCUGAUCCAGCCAUGCCGCGUGUGUGAAGAAGGCCUUCGGGUUGUAAAGCACUUUAAGCGAGGAGGAAGGUUCGUUACUUAAUACGUAACGGAAUUGACGUUACUCGCAGAAUAAGCACCGGCUAACUCUGUGCCAGCAGCCGCGGUAAUACAGAGGGUGCAAGCGUUAAUCGGAAUUACUGGGCGUAAAGCGCGCGUAGGCGGUUGUGUAAGUUGGAUGUGAAAUCCCCGGGCUCAACCUGGGCACUGCAUUCAAAACUGCACGGCUAGAGUAUGGGAGAGGAAGGUAGAAUUCCAGGUGUAGCGGUGAAAUGCGUAGAGAUCUGGAGGAAUACCGAUGGCGAAGGCAGCCUUCUGGCCUAAUACUGACGCUGAGGUGCGAAAGCAUGGGGAGCAAACAGGAUUAGAUACCCUGGUAGUCC